GGUCAGGUAAUUAAGGGUAUAUGGUGGAUGUCUUGGUUGAGGUCGCUGACGAAGGCCGUGGUAAGCUGCGAUAAGGUGCGGGGAGGAGCAAACAUCCUUUGAUCCGCACAUUGCCGAAUGGGGAAACCCGUCUCUGGGGAAACCCAGAGACAUCGCACAACGAAUAAAGUAGUAGUUGUGCGAAGACAACCCGGGGAAGUGAAACAUCUCAGUACCCGGAGGAAAAGAAAUCAACGCCGCAAGGCGGCGAGAUUCCCUUAGUAGUGGCGAGCGAAACGGGAACAGCCUAAACCUGAUGGUGCAAACCAAAAGGGGUUGUAGGGCUCAUCCGGUGUAGAACCAGGGAGUUACCAAUCAUACGGAUAUCUGAACGGUCCUGGAACGGCCGACCAGAGAAGGUGAGAGUCCUGUAUGGAAAAUCUGUAUGGCUCCCGAUGAGUUCCUGAGUACCACGGGACACGUGAAAUCCCGUGGGAAUCUGGGGGGACCAUCCUCCAAGGCUAAAUACGGACCUCAGACCGAUAGUGAAUUAGUACCGCGAGGGAAAGAUGAAAAGAACCCCGGAAGGGGAGUGAAAUAGAACCUGAAACCGUAUACCUACAAGCAGUCAAAGGGCUAUGACGGACGUCCCGUUAUGCUGGAGCAAUCUGGCAGAAACGAACGCCGUAAUGCCUGAUGGCGUGCCUGUCGAAGAAUGAUCCGGCGAGUUACUCUAACGAGUGAGUAUAAGUUUGUCAUCAAAAGUGGCAAACGAAAGCACAGGGAAACCGAGUCCGAAUAGGGCGAUUAACUCGUUAGAGUAGACCCGAAGCCAAGUGAUCUAUCCCUGGUCAGGCUGAAGUUUCGGUAACACGGAAUGGAGGGCUGAACCAUUUGCCGUUGCAAAGGCACUGGAUGAACUGGGGAUAGGGGUGAAAGGCCAAUCUAACUUGGUGAUAGCUGGUUCUCCCCGAAAUAGCUUUAGGGCUAGCCUGUCAAUUUAACUGUGAUGGGUAGAGCACUGGAUAGUGUAGGGUCUGUAACCCAGAUUCCGAAUCUAACCAAACUCCGAAUACUCACAGGAAUAUUGAUGGAGUCAGUGCGUGACGGAUAAGCGCCACGCGCAAAAGGGGAACAGCCCAGACCGUUGAAUAAGGUCCCUAAAUUGAGGUUAAGUGGGAAAGGACGUGAGAUUGCUUAGACAGCUAGGAAGUUGGCUUAGAAGCAGCCAUCUUUUAAAGAGUGCGUAACAGCUCACUAGUCAAGCGAUUUCGCGCUAAAAAUACACGGGGCUAAACCUCGUACCGAAUUCACGGCUGUCCCCCCUGUCAGUUUUGCAAUAGUAAAACUAGGGGGGACGGGGUAGGGGAGCGUUCCCAGCGCAGAGAAGGUAUACCGUAAGGAGUACUGGAGCGCUGGGAAGUGAGGAUGUCGGAAUAAGUAGCGAUAAGGGAGGUGAAAAUCCUCCCCGCCGUAAGCCCAAGGUUUCCUUGAGCAAUGUUCGUCAGCUCAGGGUUAGUCGGUCCUAAGUUGAGGCCGAAAGGCGUAAACGAAGGACAUCCGGUUAAUAUUCCGGAACCAACCUAGUAGCGUUAAAACUGUGUGUGUUCGCAUCAGAGUAAGACCAUCCCGAGAUUGGUUGUUCGGGUUUAAUUCAGGCGUGAGCCUGAAGAGUACGAUUGCAGGGUAACCUGUGAGAAGUGGUAGAAUCUGGUGACAAGAAAAGCACACUUCAGGAGUCAUUAGGUUGACCGUACCGAAAACCAACACAGGUGGGCGACCAGAACAUGGUAAGGCGCGCGAGUAACCCGCCGCUAAGGAACUCGGCAAAUUGGCUCCGUAACUUCGGAAUAAGGAGUGCCUGAGUACUCAUGGCGCAAGCCAGGACGAAAAGGCCGCAGUUAAGAGCCUCUUACGACUGUUUAACAAAAACACAGGUCUCUGCUGAAAUCUCAAGAUGAUGUAUAGGGACUGACGCCUGCCCGGUGCCGGAAGGUCAAGAGGAUGUGUGCAAGCACUGAUUCUAAGCCCCGGUAAACGGCGGCCGUAACUAUAACGGUCCUAAGGUAGCGAAAUUCCUUGUCGGGUAAGUUCCGACCUGCACGAAUGGCGUAACGAGAAGAGGACUGUCUCGGCGGCGGACUCGGCGAAUUUGUGGUAUCCGUGAAGACGCGGAUUGCCUGCGGUUAGACGAAAAGACCCCGUGGAGCUUUACUGCAACCUGAUAUUGAAUUACGGGGUGGAAUGCGUAGGAUAGGUGGGAGCCUUUGAAAUCCUGGUUUUGGCCAGGAUGGAGGCGUCCUUGAAAUACCACCCUUUCUAUCUUGUGGUUCUAAUCCGAUGCUUUGAAACGAGCACAGAGACAGUGUUUGGUGGGCAGUUUAACUGGGGCGGUUGCCUCCUAAAAGAUAACGGAGGCGUCCAAAGGUACCCUCACCACGAAUAGAAAUCGUGGGUUGAGUGCAAGGGCAUAAGGGUGCUUGACUGCGAGUCCGACGGGACAAGCAGAUACGAAAGUAGGGCCUAGUGAUCCGGUGGUUUCGAAUGGAAGUGCCAUCGCUCAACGGAUAAAAGCUACCCCGGGGAUAACAGGCUAAUCUGACCCGAGAGUCCAUAUCGACGGUCAGGUUUGGCACCUCGAUGUCGGCUCAUCCCAUCCUGGGGCUGGAGUAGGUCCCAAGGGUUUGGCUGUUCGCCAAUUAAAGGGGUACGUGAGCUGGGUUCAGUACGUCGUGAGACAGUACGGUCUCUAUCUACCGUGGGCGUUGGAAACUUGAGGGGUUCUGUCCUUAGUACGAGAGGACCAGGAUGGACCAGCCUCUGGCGUUCCUGCUAUCGCGCCAGCGGUAUUAGCAGGGUAACUAUUGCUGGUACGGAAUAACCGCUGAAAGCAUCUAAGCGGGAAGUCCACCCCAAGAUAAGGUUUCCCUUCCAGGAUGCGUCACUCCGCAAGGUUUGAUGCUGAAUGGACUAAAGGUCACCAGAAGACUACUGGUUUAAUAGGCCGGAUGUGUAAGCACAGUAAUGUGUUGAGCUGACCGGUACUAAUUGACCGUGAGUCCUGGCCAU
rnacentral:rRNA from 1 species